rnacentral:rRNA from 1 species
UGGGGAAUAUUGGACAAUGGGCGAAAGCCUGAUCCAGCCAUGCCGCGUGUGUGAAGAAGGUCUUCGGAUUGUAAAGCACUUUAAGUUGGGAGGAAGGGCAGUAAGCGAAUACCUUGCUGUUUUGACGUUACCGACAGAAUAAGCACCGGCUAACUCUGUGACAGCAGCCGCGGUAAUACAGAGGGUGCAAGCGUUAAUCGGAAUUACUGGGCGUAAAGCGCGCGUAGGUGGUUCGUUAAGUUGAAUGUGAAAGCCCCGGGCUCAACCUGGGAACUGCAGCCACAACUGGCGAGCUAGAGUAGGGCAGAGGGUGGUUGAAUUUCCUGUGUAGCGGUGAAAUGCGUAGAUAUAGGAAGGAACACCAGUGGCGAAGGCGACCAUCUGGCCUAACACUGACGCUGAGGUACGAAAGCAUGGGGAGCAAACAGG